GUGGUGGUGUGUUUGAGAUUAAUCAGCACUUUGGAGGAGGAUCUGUCUGUCUGUUUGCCUGUCUGUCUACAUACCUGUCUGUCUGUCUACAGAGUGUUUUAUAUAAUGUUAAAUACAGCGUCACGUUCACAAACGUAUGGAACGUUUUAAAGAAACGUUAUCGCAGCUUUAUCGCUAUGAUUUCUACCGACGAGUUCGUAGAACGUUCCUGAGCGUAGUCCGGCGUACAGGAUGACUGACGUGUCUGAGGGGAGAGAAAAAGCGAGACAGAAGACCGAGAGGACAACGAGAUAUCGACUGGAGAAUACAGAAGAAACAUGAAGCUCAUAAUAUGUGUACUGUGUUGGGACACGGGAAGGGAGGAACAAAUCAUGGUGAAAGAAAGAGAAAGACAGUUAGAGAGAGAGACAGACUGAGAGAGAGAGAGAGAGAAGAGGAGAUUAGUAUGCAUGAGCUCACUGUCUCCUCUAAAGCACUUUGUCACCCUAUUCACUCCCUCUGAGCUCUUAUUGAGUCUGGGGUCAUGGCACAGUAAGUACAGUACGGCAGAGAGACAGACAGCUGCAGUUAGACAGCUUGGAUUGUGCAGAAAGACAGGACAUGGCCAUGGGCAGAGACACUGGAGACAGCUUUAGCAGAGGGACAAGAAAUGGGUUAUACAGAGAGACAGGAGUAAGAAGAAAGACAGUAGACAGGCAUACGCAGAGAGACGGUAGACAGGUUUAGCAGAGAGACAGGCAAAAGCAGAGAGACAGGCAUAAGCAGAGAGACAGGAGACAGGCAUAAGCAGAGAGACAGUAGACAGACAUAAGCAGAAAGACAGUAGACAGGUUUAGCAGAGAGACAGGCAUAAGCAGAGAGACAGUAGACAGGUUUAGCAGAGAGACAGGCAUAAGCAGAGAGACAGUAGACAGGCAUAAGCAGAGAGACAGGCAUAAGCAGAGAGACAGGCAUAAGCAGAGAGACAGUAGACAGGCGUAAGCAGAGAGACAGGCAUAAGCAGAGAGACAGUAGACAGGUUUAGCAGAGAGACAGGCAUAAGCAGAGAGACAGUAGACAGGCGUAAGCAGAGAGACGGGCAUAAGCAGAAUGUCAGUAGACAGGUUUAGCAGAGAGACAGCUUCAACAUAGAAAGAGACAAAAGAACAUAAUCAGCAGAGACCGGUAGACAGGAGACAGCGCAACCAAGGCAGAGUUUAUCAGUGGGUGUGAGCGAGAGAGAGAGAGAGAGAGAGAGAGAGAGCGCGAGAGAGAGAGACAGCUGUCUUAUAUCCUGUAAUUCAGUUCAUUGGAUGUUGGUGAAAAUGUAAAGGCACGGCAGAGCGCACUGGUGCGUGUUGAAGACGGAGAGUAGUGUUUACUCAUGUCGCUGAAUUUCACGGCGUUUUGAACGAACAAAUCUUUGGCAUUAUCGCCGAUCCGUAAAUAAGUGUUUCCUCCUCUCUGACGCUUAGCUGCUGCGUUGUUCUUCUUCAGCAACUUGUAAUGGCACGCCAUGCAGAUCUGUCAUCAGUGUUUCCUUCUGGUGUGUGUGUGUGUGUGUGUGUGUGUGUGUGUGUGUGUGUGUGAGAUCAUGCUCGUUCUCUUCCUCCCUGUCUCGGAGGAUCUGUAAAGCACGAGACAAUACAGCACGGUCUGAGGAACAUCUGAAGCGUGUGGAAGAAGUCGGCCAUGUUUGAUGGGCACUCUGGGUGGUGUGUUAGUGAGAAAAACAGGAAGUGAAGAGGAUGGAACAGGAAAUUAAUCCCGAGGAUAAUGAAUAUAAUAUAAAAUUCUGGUUUAAGUGUGUGUGUGUGUGUGUGCACGUCCUGAAGUGUUUUAUUCCUUCACACCACAGCGAAUUUUCCACUGAUUCCGUUUUGUAUUUAUUAAAGAACGACACACAAUGUAGUUAUACCCCAGCACGUGGUUUCAACGGAAGGAGUCUCCAGUGUCGGAGGUAAAGCUGGAAGUUGUUGUUUUUUUUUUUUUCUCUGACAUCUUUAGGACAGAGGGGGUUUUAAUCAUUUUUUUUUGUGUAUCAAACAGUGUUUAUUACAGAACGAGAAAGUGAAGGGACGACAGUUUAGGGCUGCCGCAAGAUAAGUAACGGCAGAAACUCGUGUUGUGGACGUUCUGUAACAAUAAACGGACAAAAAAUAUAUAUUUUCCAAAAAUGUCAUCUUUGGAGAAUUGUUCAGCAGCGGUUAGAAUCCUGGUCAUGAACUGACGAGGUUAAAAUGAGGGAUUGUCGGAGUGAGAGAAACGGCUAAACACGUAGCGUAGUGCUAAGAAAAACAUACACACAAGCACACACACACACACACACACAUUACGUUAGUGUGUAAAUGUUCGAUCUGUUACUGUGUGGGAUUUACACACUGCGUUUAUUCACGUUCUCCUCAUCCUCACUGUGUGCUGCACUUAAAUCUUGCAUCACUCUUGUUUUUAUUUCAAUGCUAAGCUACCUUUAGGGCUUUGAGCCGCCGGUCGUGUCCCAAACCCAUAACACUCUGGUGCUCGGUGUGGUUCGGACCCACCGCAGCACAGUGGAGAGGCUUCAAAGAGCCUGUAGACUAAACAAACAGCUGUUUCUCUCUCUCUCUCUCUCUCUCUCUCUCCUCUUUUUUUUCCUCUUCUCCUUUCAUUUUCUUCGUUCUUUCUCCUUUCCUCCUGGUCCACAUCUCGGAUUGUUCGGGGUUUUCGUUUUAACCCGUCCCGGACUCGGUGCUCUGUGUUUUGCGGUCGAGCGAGUUAAAAUAGCAGUUUAGGAAUGUUCUGUGUCACAGGUGUACAUCAACUCGACGCCUUAUUUCGUCUGCCUGGAAGUAGAAAAUAAAAAGAGUAAUAAAACGAACCGAUUCGUACCGACGCUGUAUUUUGACACUGGAGCGACGUGACUGAAAUGUCGCAGCUGACAGCGUUGUAGAAAUGACGGGUUUCAUUUAUUAAAAUGAUAUUUCACUGCACUGCUACUACCGUCGAAUAGCUCUGUUUUAAUUAAAUACAAAAAGUUUUGUGACGAUAACACAACACAGUCCUGUUCUCUGUGUAGAGUUCAUUUAUUACAGUCUCGGCUAGCGUGUGUGUGUGUGUGUGUGUGCGCACGCUACAUGCACUAGGAGUGUACUGACUCGUGUGGGGACGAGUGUGACGCGGUCGCCGCUCCUGUUGACCCCGUGACCUUGUGUUGUGGAGCCACUCCAACAAGGAGGCUUCUGUUCUGUAGAAUGACAUCACAGGUCCUCUCACCUACUAGUCUGUGUGU
ensembl:lncRNA